UCUUAAGUCAUAUCACCUCAGGCUAUGACUUCAUCAAAUCUCAUUAAACUAAGCAGGGUUGGUCCAGGUCAGUACUUGGAUGGGUGAAAAAUCCAGAUGUUAUCAGAA
rnacentral:rRNA from 1 species